UACGUAGGGGGCAAGCGUUGUCCGGAUUUAUUGGGCGUAAAGCGCUCGCAGGUGGUUCGUUGCGUCGUGCGUGAAAGACCCCGGCUCAACUGGGGAGGGUCGUGCGAUACGGGCGAACUGGAGGCCAGUAGGGGGAUGCGGAAUUCCGGGUGUAGUGGUGGAAUGCGUAGAGAUCAGGAAGAACAUCGGUGGCGAAGGCGCUCUGCUGGACCAUAACUGACACUCAGGGACGAAAGCUAGGGGAGCGAAUGGG
rnacentral:rRNA from 1 species